UACGGAGGGUGCAAGCGUUAUCCGGAUUCACUGGGUUUAAAGCGCGCGUAGGCGGGCAUCUAAGUCAGGGGUGAAAUGCCAGGGCUCAACCUUGGAAUUGCCUUUGAUACUGGAUGUCUGGAGUUCGGGAGAGGUGAGUGGAAUUCCGAGUGUAGAGGUGAAAUUCGUAGAUAUUCGGAGGAACACCAGAAGCGAAGGCGGCUCACUGGCCCGAUACUGACGCUGAGGCGCGAAAGCGUGGGGAGCAAACAGG
rnacentral:rRNA from 1 species